rnacentral:rRNA from 1 species
AAUGGGUCAGCGACUUAUAUUCUGUAGCAAGGUUAACCGAAUAGGGGAGCCGAAGGGAAACCGAGUCUUAACUGGGCGUUAAGUUGCAGGGUAUAGACCCGAAACCCGGUGAUCUAGCCAUGGGCAGGUUGAAGGUUGGGUAACACUAACUGGAGGACCGAACCGACUAAUGUUGAAAAAUUAGCGGAUGACUUGUGGCUGGGGGUGAAAGGCCAAUCAAACCGGGAGAUAGCUGGUUCUCCCCGAAAGCUAUUUAGGUAGCGCCUCGUGAAUUCAUCUCCGGGGGUAGAGCACUGUUUCGGCAAGGGGGUCAUCCCGACUUACCAACCCGAUGCAAACUGCGAAUACCGGAGAAUGUUAUCACGGGAGACACACGGCGGGUGCUAACGUCCGUCGUGAAGAGGGAAACAACCCAGACCGCCAGCUAAGGUCCCAAAGUCAUGGUUAAGUGGGAAACGAUGUGGGAAGGCCCAGACAGCCAGGAUGUUGGCUUAGAAGCAGCCAUCAUUUAAAGAAAGCGUAAUAGCUCACUGGUCGAGUCGGCCUGCGCGGAAGAUGUAACGGGGCUAAACCAUGCACCGAAGCUGCGGCAGCGACGCUUAUGCGUUGUUGGGUAGGGGAGCGUUCUGUAAGCCUGUGAAGGUGUGCUGUGAGGCAUGCUGGAGGUAUCAGAAGUGCGAAUGCUGACAUAAGUAACGAUAAAGCGGGUGAAAAGCCCGCUCGCCGGAAGACCAAGGGUUCCUGUCCAACGUUAAUCGGGGCAGGGUGAGUCGACCCCUAAGGCGAGGCCGAAAGGCGUAGUCGAUGGGAAACAGGUUAAUAUUCCUGUACUUGGUGUUACUGCGAAGGGGGGACGGAGAAGGCUAUGUUGGCCGGGCGACGGUUGUCCCGGUUUAAGCGUGUAGGCUGGUUUUCCAGGCAAAUCCGGAAAAUCAAGGCUGAGGCGUGAUGACGAGGCACUACGGUGCUGAAGCAACAAAUGCCCUGCUUCCAGGAAAAGCCUCUAAGCAUCAGGUAACAUCAAAUCGUACCCCAAACCGACACAGGUGGUCAGGUAGAGAAUACCAAGGCGCUUGAGAGAACUCGGGUGAAGGAACUAGGCAAAAUGGUGCCGUAACUUCGGGAGAAGGCACGCUGAUAUGUAGGUGAAGUCCCUUGCGGAUGGAGCUGAAAUCAGUCGAAGAUACCAGCUGGCUGCAACUGUUUAUUAAAAACACAGCACUGUGCAAACACGAAAGUGGACGUAUACGGUGUGACGCCUGCCCGGUGCCGGAAGGUUAAUUGAUGGGGUCAGCGCAAGCGAAGCUCUUGAUCGAAGCCCCGGUAAACGGCGGCCGUAACUAUAACGGUCCUAAGGUAGCGAAAUUCCUUGUCGGGUAAGUUCCGACCUGCACGAAUGGCGUAAUGAUGGCCAGGCUGUCUCCACCCGAGACUCAGUGAAAUUGAACUCGCUGUGAAGAUGCAGUGUACCCGCGGCAAGACGGAAAGACCCCGUGAACCUUUACUAUAGCUUGACACUGAACAUUGAGCCUUGAUGUGUAGGAUAGGUGGGAGGCUUUGAAGUGUGGACGCCAGUCUGCAUGGAGCCGACCUUGAAAUACCACCCUUUAAUGUUUGAUGUUCUAACGUGGACCCGUGAUCCGGGUUGCGGACAGUGUCUGGUGGGUAGUUUGACUGGGGCGGUCUCCUCCUAAAGAGUAACGGAGGAGCACGAAGGUUGGCUAAUCCUGGUCGGACAUCAGGAGGUUAGUGCAAUGGCAUAAGCCAGCUUGACUGCGAGCGUGACGGCGCGAGCAGGUGCGAAAGCAGGUCAUAGUGAUCCGGUGGUUCUGAAUGGAAGGGCCAUCGCUCAACGGAUAAAAGGUACUCCGGGGAUAACAGGCUGAUACCGCCCAAGAGUUCAUAUCGACGGCGGUGUUUGGCACCUCGAUGUCGGCUCAUCACAUCCUGGGGCUGAAGUAGGUCCCAAGGGUAUGGCUGUUCGCCAUUUAAAGUGGUACGCGAGCUGGGUUUAGAACGUCGUGAGACAGUUCGGUCCCUAUCUGCCGUGGGCGCUGGAGAACUGAGGGGGGCUGCUCCUAGUACGAGAGGACCGGAGUGGACGCAUCACUGGUGUUCGGGUUGUCAUGCCAAUGGCACUGCCCGGUAGCUAAAUGCGGAAGAGAUAAGUGCUGAAAGCAUCUAAGCACGAAACUUGCCCCGAGAUGAGUUCUCC